rnacentral:lncRNA from 1 species
GUCUGAUGUGCUUUUCUCUCUCUCUCUCUCUCUCUCUCUCUCUUCCUUUCCUGGCUGUUUGUUUUUUGGGGGUGUUGGUGUUUGGGGGGUCUUACAGGUAACCUAAGAGGCUUCAAUGUGGCCACCGCUCCUGUAUUGCAGCAGUUCUUCCCUCAAGCAACCCGACAUUCUCUACUGGGGCCCCCACCUGUCUCCCUCAAGCCCCCCCAGCUGGGGUUCCCAGCCCUCCCAUUUCAUCGCCAAAACCGGCCCUUUCGUAAGGAUUUUCCCAGGGUCGCAGAGAGGAAGCGAGAGGCAGAUGGCACCUCAUCAUCCGUACAAGGGCCAGGCGAGGAAGGGGCUGCACCAGUGGGAAAGCAGCCCGGCUCUCCCACUUCAGAGAGCCUCGCGGAGCCUCCUCAAGAUGGCGAACCAGUGGCCAAGGUGCCCCGAAGUGAAGUGGAGAUCUCGGACGCUGAAGAUGCGCCAGGCCUUCCCAAAACAGAAGAGGCUCAGACAGGAGGAGACCCAGAAUUCGUGGCAACAGGAACAGACACUGGGGAAGGGGACGUCCCCGCGGAGGCUUUGGAGGAGAGCUUUGAAGAGGAGAAGACCUCAGAGGUGCUGA